rnacentral:piRNA from 1 species
UGGCAUGUAUGUUUUGUCCAGGUCAUC